rfam:Chlorobi bacterium OLB7 TZ07_CHB004CONTIG000266, whole genome shotgun sequence.
CCCAGGGCGGUGCCCUGGGCUGGUAUGGGUCGCCCCUUCAGGGCU